GUUGCUUUUGCCACACAGCACGCGGGAUAUGCAGCGAAGUCUGGCGAAGUCUUCUAAGUGGCUCGAUAGCGACGAUUGCGCAUGUUCGUUUUGCAGCGAGUUAACACGUGCUUUGCGGCUUCGAUACAGACGCACAAAUGAGACAGAAGGUUGCAUGUUUAGCGCUGCGUCUGGCCGCGAAGUUCGAGAGGAUUCCAACUUACCGCCUUCGUGAACCACAGUGGAGUUUUCGCGCAUGCAGUCACUCGAGUGUCCAAGAGUGGCACCGAGACGCGCAGUCGCGCGUUCCGUCGUUGAAGACGGACAUUUUCGAGGCGAUGAAGGGCUACCCGGUGAGCUUUGAUCAUCUUUAUGAUAGUGUGGUGCGGACGCUAAUAAGACAGGGUUUCGAAGACAAGCACAUCGUCCAGGUAGUCACCAAGGCGCCGCGGAUAAUCGAGUUGCAUAGGUCCCUGAGCGACAUUCUCUCCUUCUGGAGGACUUUGUUCAGGAGUGAGCCCGUUUUCUUGCAGACGAUAUCCGAGUACCCCGAACUCCUCUACUUGAGUCCAGAGGCGGUCGAAGAGAGGCAGAAGGAACUGUUCACAGUCUUUCCUAACAAGGACAUUGUCAAGCUAGUGGAGACAUGCCCGCAGGCGUUUAUCGACGACUGGGACGAGAUCAUGGAGAAAGUGAACUACAUAGCGCACGCCAUGGUCAUCAGUCCGGAGCACAUCGUCAGUAGCGCCGCUCUCAGCUACAGCUUACUCCACAUCAAGACGAGGCAUCAGUUCCUGCUGUGCUGCGGCAAGUACCGCACGCCAAAGCCCAAGGAAGUUACGACCACUAAUCCACCCCUGGACAAGAUCGUCGGGCUGCCACUUCGCCUGUACCUCAACAUGUGCGGAGUCACGGCUGAAGAGUACUACGUGUUUGAAAAACUUAUGAAAAAAGAGCAAGAACGAGAAGCAGAAGAGGAUAGCGACGACGACGACCUUGAUUAGCAAAUCGCCUGUUUUUUAUUCCUUAGGUUUGCUGAUGUAUGAGGCUUUUUAUACGCGCCAAGUUACCGAAUUGUGGUGCCAGAAAGAGUCCCUAAUUCAUCGUGUAUUCCACAGUGCGUGACGUGUGCUGCCUUUGACAUAGCCAAGCCCGGUGUGCUGCACGCGCUGGCCAUCUUGAAUAAAAGUACUCAGAAAAACCAGCGUGGUGUCGAGUGACGAAUCACAGUGCACGCUAUGGAGGCACUGAAUGGAUGCGAAGAACAGGUUCGGAGAACAUGGUCAUGUAGACACCACGUUUGGAUUUCGCCAAUGGUCAUUAUUUGGCAAAACCUCAAGUGACACUGGCGUAUGCAGCUGGGGUGCCAUCUCCCGAAAUCUUUGCUGGCUAGAGACGUUGCCGAGGUUUGAAAUGGACUGGCAAUAAAUUGUAUGUGCCUAGCGUUUCUUGCUAAAGCCUUGACUGAU